UGCACCAUGUUGGGCUGCAUCAGUCAUGCCAUGUUAUGAAACCUAACACGAUGUGACUGAUGCAGGCUGACAUGA
ensembl:miRNA